AGCCUGUUCUAUAAUCGAUGAUCCACGAUUCACCUUACCAUUUUUCGCCUCCCUCAGCCUGUAUACCUCCGUCUCCAGCUUACCAUCUGAAUGCUGCAAAGUAAGUGCAAUGGGUUAAUACCCCAAUACGUCAGGUCAAGGUGCAGCUUAUAAAAUGGAAAGCAAUGGGCUACAAUUUCUAAUAUAGAACAAACGAAAAACUACAUGAAACAUAGUCAUGAAGGCGGAUUUAGCAGUAAAAGAAGAACAGCUAGCUUCUUUUAACCGAGCUCU
rnacentral:rRNA from 1 species